UAAUAUCUUAUUUCUUGACAUGUGUGCAGACCAAUCCUGUGACAAAGACAACCUACGGCUACGAGGAAGACAUGGCUAUCAAGUACACGAGAGCCGUGUACACCGAGAUGAGUACUAGGAUGAGAAAAGCGACACUAUUUCGCGCAAAGCCUGCAACAGAGCCCACUAAGUACCUUGUGUACUACCACAACAAGGCUGGCCAUGAUGAUGAAGAAAGAUUUGCCUGGUCAAAGCAUGAAUUCCAGGUUGUAGCUGACCUUGAUAAUGAAAUAUAUGAGUGUGAGCUAUGGACACACACAGGUGAGUGGAAAACAAACUCAUUAAAUACCUAAACUAGUAGUAUCAUAUCAAAUAGAUGAAACUCAUUGCUGGCUCGCAAACUAUGUAUUCUGCAUUCAUCACAAAAUGCAGGCCUCUUCUGCCUUCACAUCAUGAACAUACUGGACCACCUGAAGCCUGACAAAUUUCCAGACAAGUAUAUCCUCAAACAGUACACAAAGACUGCAAGAUCACAACCAACAUUUGAUACAAGGGACUACAACACGACUGCAUCGGAUGUCAGCUCAAGACUAUCGAAGCAAGACAUCUUGCUGCAGCUAAAUUUGAUGGUUAACAAGAAAUCAAUGAGAUGUGACCAGCAAUAUGACAGAGCCUUCUAUGCUCUCAAGAGGCUAGUGGAAGAGCUUGAUGUAAUACAUUCAACAAAUCGAGCGGAUGCUGAAAUUGAAGAUGACCUUCAUUAUUAUGCAGCUAAAAUGCUCCAGGCCGCUGCUCAAGCCAACCAAUCCAAGUAGGGUGUUGACCAAUUAAUGCAGCAGCGGUAGCAAGAGACGAUGAGAAUGCAUCUGUACUCUGAAACAAAGGGUAAGAAUAAAAUUUCCGCAGCAAAGAAAAGUGAGAGAGCUCAAAUAAAGGCACCACCUGCAGGAAGAGUCGUCAUGCUCGAUGGGAACGGAGUGCCACUUGGACACAG
rnacentral:lncRNA from 1 species